rnacentral:rRNA from 1 species
CACUCUGGCCCUACCGCUGUGUGUCCAAUCUCGUUUGAUCUCGGAAGCUAAGCAGUGUCGGGCCUGGUUAGUACUUGGAUGGGAGACAGUGAUAUGGUAGACGUAUGUAAGAAAAUACUCAUUAUGGCCCCUGAGUGC